rnacentral:rRNA from 1 species
UGGGGAAUAUUGCACAAUGGGCGCAAGCCUGAUGCAGCAACGCCGCGUGAGGGACGACGGCCUUCGGGUUGUAAACCUCUUUUGGCAGGGAAGAAGCGAAAGUGACGGUACCUGCAGAAAAAGCACCGGCUAACUACGUGCCAGCAGCCGCGGUAAUACGUAGGGUGCAAGCGUUGUCCGGAAUUAUUGGGCGUAAAGAGCUCGUAGGCGGUUUGUCGCGUCUGCUGUGAAAACGCGAGGCUCAACCUCGCGCCUGCAGUGGGUACGGGCAGACUAGAGUGUGGUAGGGGAGAUUGGAAUUCCUGGUGUAGCGGUGGAAUGCGCAGAUAUCAGGAGGAACACCGAUGGCGAAGGCAGAUCUCUGGGCCAUUACUGACGCUGAGGAGCGAAAGCGUGGGGAGCGAA